rnacentral:rRNA from 1 species
AACAGGAUUAGAUACCCUGGUAGUCCACGCCGUAAACGAUGUCGACUUGGAGGUUGUGCCCUUGAGGCGUGGCUUCCGGAGCUAACGCGUUAAGUCGACCGCCUGGGGAGUACGGCCGCAAGGUUAAAACUCAAAUGAAUUGACGGGGGCCCGCACAAGCGGUGGAGCAUGUGGUUUAAUUCGAUGCAACGCGAAGAACCUUACCUGGUCUUGACAUCCACGGAAGUUUUCAGAGAUGAGAAUGUGCCUUCGGGAACCGUGAGACAGGUGCUGCAUGGCUGUCGUCAGCUCGUGUUGUGAAAUGUUGGGUUAAGUCCCGCAACGAGCGCAACCCUUAUCCUUUGUUGCCAGCGGUCCGGCCGGGAACUCAAAGGAGACUGCCAGUGAUAAACUGGAGGAAGGUGGGGAUGACGUCAAGUCAUCAUGGCCCUUACGACCAGGGCUACACACGUGCUACAAUGGCGCAUACAAAGAGAAGCGACCUCGCGAGAGCAAGCGGACCUCAUAAAGUGCGUCGUAGUCCGGAUUGGAGUCUGCAACUCGACUCCAUGAAGUCGGAAUCGCUAGUAAUCGUGGAUCAGAAUGCCACGGUGAAUACGUUCCCGGGCCUUGUACACACCGCCCGUCACACCAUGGGAGUGGGUUGCAAAAGAAGUAGGUAGCUUAACCUUCGGGAGGGCGCUUACCACUUUGUGAUUCAUGACUGGCGUGAAGUCGUAACAAGGUAACCGUAGGGGAACCUGCGGUUGGAUCACCUCCUU